rnacentral:rRNA from 1 species
UACACAUGCAAGUCGAACAGAGCAGCAUGAUCUAGCUUGCUAGAUUGAUGGCGAGUGGCGAACGGGUGAGUAAUACAUCGGAACGUGCCCUGUAGUGGGGGAUAACUAGUCGAAAGAUUAGCUAAUACCGCAUACGACCUGAGGGUGAAAGUGGGGGACCGCAAGGCCUCAUGCUAUAGGAGCGGCCGAUGUCUGAUUAGCUAGUUGGUGAGGUAAAGGCUCACCAAGGCGACGAUCAGUAGCUGGUCUGAGAGGACGAUCAGCCACACUGGGACUGAGACACGGCCCAGACUCCUACGGUAGGCAGCAGUGGGGAAUUUUGAACAAUGGGCGAAAGCCUGAUCCAGCAAUGCCGCGUGUGUGAAGAAGGCCUUCGGGUUGUAAAGCACUUUUGUCCGGAAAGAAAUGGCUCUGGUUAAUACCUGGGGUCGAUGACGGUACCGGAAGAAUAAGGACCGGCUAACUACGUGCCAGCAGCCGCGGUAAUACGUAGGGUCCAAGCGUUAAUCGGAAUUACUGGGCGUAAAGCGUGCGCAGGCGGUUGUGCAAGACCGAUGUGAAAUCCCCGAGCUUAACUUGGGAAUUGCAUUGGUGACUGCACGGCUAGAGUGUGUCAGAGGGGGGUAGAAUUCCACGUGUAGCAGUGAAAUGCGUA